rnacentral:rRNA from 1 species
UACGUAGGGUGCGAGCGUUAAUCGGAAUUACUGGGCGUAAAGCGCGCGUAGGCGGUUUGGUAAGUGGGAUGUGAAAGCCCCGGGCUUAACCUGGGAACUGCAUUCCAAACUGCCAGGCUAGAGUUUGGUAGAGGGAGGUGGAAUUUCCUGUGUAGCGGUGAAAUGCGUAGAUAUAGGAAGGAACACCAGUGGCGAAGGCGGCCUCCUGGACCAAAACUGACGCUGAGGUGCGAAAGCGUGGGGAGCAAACAGG